rnacentral:lncRNA from 1 species
UACUAGAAAAAUGAAACAUACAUUGAUUCAGUUCAUUCAUGAGUCAGUACGAGUAAUACAUACAGUACAUUAUAGCUAGUAUGCACAGUACAAUACUAUACAUGCUAGAUAGAGAGAACAUACAUUAUAGCCAGCACAUGCAGAACAUUUCAGUACAUUACUAUACAUGCUAGAUAGAGAGAACAUACAUUACAGCUAGCACACACAGAACAUUUCAGUACAUGCAGGCUAGACAGAGAAAGAAUACACUUUUCAGUUAGCACAUUCAUUACAUGUACAUUUAUGCAGUUAUGUGAACCAUUAAGCGGGUCAUGGCACUUCCUGCCAUGACUGUUUUUGAAUCCCGAAUCUCCUUAAUUGGGGAGCGUGUGAGUUUGCAUAUAGAUCUAUACUAGAU